rnacentral:rRNA from 1 species
UACGGGGGGGGCAAGCGUUGUUCGGAAUUACUGGGCGUAAAGGGCUCGUAGGCGGCCAACUAAGUCAGACGUGAAAUCCCUCGGCUUAACCGGGGAACUGCGUCUGAUACUGGAUGGCUUGAGUUUGGGAGAGGGAUGCGGAAUUCCAGGUGUAGCGGUGAAAUGCGUAGAUAUCUGGAGGAACACCAAUAGCGAAGGCAGCUCGCUGGGACGGUACUGACGCUAAGGCGCGAAAGCGUGGGGAGCGAACAGG